rnacentral:rRNA from 1 species
CCUACGGGAGGCAGCAGUAGGGAAUCUUGCACAAUGGGCGAAAGCCUGAUGGAGCAACGCCGCGUGCAGGAUGAAGGCCUUCGGGGUGUAAACUGCUUUUAUAAGCGAGAAAUAUGAUGGUAACUUAUGAAUAAGGAUCGGCUAAUUACGUGCCAGCAGCCGCGGUUAUACGUAGGAUCCGAGCAUUAUCCGGAGUGACUGGGUGUAAAGAGUUGCGUAGGUGGCAUAAUAAGUAGCUAGUGAAAUCUGGUGGCUCAACCAUUCAGACUAUUAGCUAAACUGUUAGGCUCGAGACCGUUAGGGGUAACUGGAAUUUCUAGUGUAGGAGUGAAAUCCGUAGAUAUUAGUAGGAACACCAAUAGCGUAGGCAGGUUACUGGGACGGUUCUGACACUGAGGCACGAAAGCGUAGGGAGCAAACGGGAUUAGAUACCCCAGUAGUC